GAGUUUGAUCGUGGCUCAGAUUGAACGCUGGCGGCAUGCCUUUACACAUGCAAGUCGAACGGCAGCACGGGAGCUUGCUCCUGGUGGCGAGUGGCGAACGGGUGAGUAAUGCAUCGGAACGUAUCCGUGGAGUGGGGGAUAACGUAGCGAAAGUUACGCUAAUACCGCAUAUUCUGUGAGCAGGAAAGCGGGGGACCUUCGGGCCUCGCGCUCUUGGAGCGGCCGAUGUCGGAUUA
rnacentral:rRNA from 1 species